rnacentral:rRNA from 1 species
AUUGAACGCUGGCGGCAUGCCUAACACAUGCAAGUCGAACGGGGUAGCAAUACCCAGUGGCGGACGGGUGAGGAAUACAUAGGAAUUUGCCUUUAGGUGGGGGAUAGCCCGGGGAAACUCGGAGUAAUACCGCAUGAUGUCGAAAGACCAAAGUAGGGGAUCGCAGGACCUUGCGCCUUUAGAGAAGCCUAUGUCUGAUUAGCUAGUUGGUAGGGUAAUGGCCUACCAAGGCGACGANCAGUAACUGGUCUGAGAGGACGAUCAGUCACACCGGAACUGAGACACGGUCCGGACUCCUACGGGAGGCAGCAGUGGGAAUAUUGGACAAUGGCGAAAGCCUGAUCCAGCAAUGCCGCGUGUGUGAAGAAGGCCUUCGGUUGUAAG